UACAGAGACUGCAAGCGUUAUUCGGAUUCACUGGGCGUAAAGGGUGCGCAGGCGGCCGUGUGUGUGAGGCGUGAAAGCCCGGGGCUUAACCCCGGAAUUGCACCUCAAACUACAUGGCUAGAGCAUUGGAGAGGGUAGCAGAAUUCACGGUGUAGCAGUGAAAUGCGUAGAUAUCGUGAGGAAUACCAGAGGCGAAGGCGGCUACCUGGACAAUUGCUGACGCUCAGGCACGAAAGCGUGGGGAGCAAACAGG
rnacentral:rRNA from 1 species